GGGGACCUAGUUCAAUUGGUAGAACGCAUGCUUUGCACGCAUGAAGCUACCGGUUCGAGUCCGGUGGUCUCCA
rnacentral:tRNA from 1 species